GCGCCCGGUGAGUACGCCACGCGCUAAGGUCAAAUGCCACCGAAGACGUCGAUGAUGCCGACGAAGAUGCAAUCAUCACGGCCCUAUGACUAGAAAUAAGACGAGAUAUCUACACAAAUGCAAAAAAUAAUAAAUGAAUCAUUAAAUUACAAAAACUAAUCCUAAUAUCCAAAAAAUUAUCCCAAGUCAAAAUUAAGAAAUUAUCCUUACAGUACUAAGGAGAACUAAAAUCUUAAAUAGAAAAAUGUAAUCAUUAACAGUAAUUACUAACACCAAAAUUACUAAUUUCAAUUAUAAUUUUUAUAAUGUCAAUUACAAUUUGGAUUUUAACUAAAAAUUAUAACUGAAAUUAAUAAAUUAUCCUAAAAUUACUAAUUUGAAAUAAAAAAUAUAACUAAAAUCCUAAAACUUCUAAUUUCAACAAAAAUUAUAAUUCCAAAUAUAAAUUAUAACUAGGAUAAAUUACACUUUACCACCUUAGGUACAAUUGCAUACAACAUCUUCAAAACAUUUCACUUUCAUACCUCACCUACUAUUUUAUUUCAAUAUAGUACAUCCGUUACAU
rnacentral:lncRNA from 1 species